AUGCCUGGAUCCAUGGGCCUGAGAGGACUGCCUGGCCGCAAAGGCUCACUUGGAAAUGGACAGAAGGGUGAAAAGGGGAAUCCUGGUCUUCCUGGAAUGCGGGUAAGGACAUGUCAAACUACCUUUUUCAACUGCAUAUUGUUAACAGGCCUGGGCUGUGGCGCAGGCAGGAGAGCAAGCCAGCUGCAAUUAACUGCAGUGAAUCACUCUGACCAGGAGGUCAUGAGUUCGAGCCCCACUCGGAGCCUAUGUUUGUUUGUCUUUGUUCUAUGUUAAAAGGCAUUGAAUGUUUGCCUAUAUGUGUAAUGUGAUCCGCCCUGAGUCCCCUUUGGGGUGAGAAGGGCGGAAUAUAAAUGCUGUAAAUAAAUAAAAUAAAUAAAUAAAUAACAGAACAUUAGAAAAGUAAUUUAACCACAAAAGACCAUUUCUCAUUACCAAUGAAAUAUUCUAAAACUUGCUUUCUGCAUUACUUAAUUUCCUCUAAAGUUGGUUAAUUUUGAGAAUUGUUAUUUCAAACUUGCCUAAGGAAUGCCCAAUGGUCUAUGCAUAUCUAGUGGAACAGCUGAGUGUUUCACAUUAAUUAGCUGUGUACCAUUUGAAAUAUGGCAAUGUGCUCUAUGUAAAACUACGUUUGAAAAGUGUUUAGAAGCUUGCCUAUGAAAUUGUAUCUGGUUAUUGACCAGGAUUAAUUAGAGAGGGAGUAUGUGAUUCCCUUAUUACAAUAGCUUUCCUAGCUACUGAUCACUUGCCAGACAAAAUGGCUAAUUAUGAUCUAUAAAGCCCUGUUCAACUUGGGACCAGGUUUCAAAGUGGUGUCAAACUGCACUAAUGCUACAAUGUAAAUGCACCCUGAGCGACACAUAGGAUGCAAUGCAGCAGAGUGUCUUCUCAACUACUGUUGCUAGAGUGGACUUCUAUAUGAAAGGGAUUAGUCAGAUGAUACUUGUAGUUCCAAAAAAGUAUAUUUUCCAAGCUCCAAGGGCCAACUCAUUGUAGUCCUGAUCCAGAUCUUAUGAUAGUAACUGU
rnacentral:lncRNA from 1 species